UCCUCCUCCCACAUUGCUCACAGAUGACCCCAGAACACCCUCUCUGCAUCCCCCACCGUGCUUUACCAACAGAAAACUAGCUCCUGCACUCUCAGAGGGGGAGGGAGGACACACAGACAGAAACUUGAUCACUUCCCUGCUACGUGGAAAAUCACGACAGCGACAAGCACCUCAGCUUGAAACAAAUGCAUGGUUUCAUGUUGAAUCCAGCUGAGGACAAACCUGGCUGUGUUUAAGCAUGUUUAAACACAAUCAUCUCCGUCACCGGGACGUACGAGGAAACACAGAUCACAAAGUGUUUUAUUUUAUACUAACAUGAGGUACAGCUGCUUGGUAAAUGGUAAAACUAAGGUCACUUCCUGUUUUCUGCCUCUUGUUUACAUUCAAAUAAUUCCCCCCGUGCAGUGAUAAAAUCUCACCGCUAGAUGUCAGUAUUAGUCCGCCCUCUGCAGAGCCGUAUCGAUACAACCCUCUGGAGUCACUCUCAAAAUCACCAUCUUCAGACUAGUUCGGAAACGAAUGAUAAAAAGUGAAAGUGUCUUUGCAGUCUGGGUCAAAACUCUCCGAUGUCACCAAACCAUGAAAUAUGUGACCGACAAAACCCGGAACGAACAAAGAACGACUGAAAACUAAGAGGGACACCGUCUGGACCAAAUCUUUAAACUAGAUCACUGGAUGGAUAUGAUAGAUAAAUGAUAAAUGAUACGGUUAAACAAGUAUCAUUUAAAAUAAUUCAAAGAAUUUACCCUCUGACUCUACCUCCCCUGCAGCAGGACGUAGCCACUAAGGCUGUUUGUAAAGGCUUCAUCACAUUGUUGUUCCAUAUUUUUUAUAUUUUUUUAAGUAUGCACAAUGCCAAGUACAGCAACAACGACAAAAAAACAUGACUACAUCACACAAAUAAAGUAGAGAACAAAAUAAAGGCGGUUGAAGUUGCUUUUACCAUUGACAGUAGGUCUAGAAAGUCUUUCAGCCAGUUAUGUUUACUAUAGCGUCCGGUUUGCGUAUCUUCCAAUUCAUAAGUAUGAUCCUCUUCACAGAGAGAAAAGCUAGAGCAGUGAUUUGUUGAGUGACUCUUGAAUUUAAAUCUGCGACUCUACUUCCCAAUAAGCAUAAAGUGGGACAUUGAGGAACAUUAAUAUUAAAUACACCUUUUAAAAGACCAAUUACUUCAGACUAGAAUCGUUCUACUGCUGGGCAGAACCAUAGUAGAUGCAUCAAAGGACCAGGUUCACCACAGCCACAGUUCAGUGACAUUUGCGUCCAUUUUUUUUAACUUAUUUGGUGUAAUAUAAGCUCUGUGUACAAGUUUAAUUUAAAUAAUUUCAUAUCUCACACAGCUUGACAUAGAUGUUGAAUUCUUUAGUAUUGUAUCCCACUGAUCUACCGUGAGUGAUGAAACGUUUGCUUAUUACAUUAGAGGCACAUUUUAAAUGCACUUUGGGGUCUGAAAUUGCGAGAGGCUUUAGCCGUUCCUCACGUGUCACCUGAUCCAAUCUUACUACCAGAUUGUUGUUCCUUGAUUGAUGUUGUUGUUGUCCUAUGGAAUGGGACCCAGUGCACAGUCACACACUCUUUUUAAUGUGCAUUGUUAAGAUGAGCUUUUAUUGUGGGUGGAGAAAUUCAUCUUGGGCAAGGUUGUUGUUUCUUGAUUAUUGUUAUCGGUCAAUAAAUGUAAACUCUAACUGUUAUCGGUGUAGUGGCUAAUAUAACACUUUAUAUAACCUCACACUUUAUAUAACCUCACUUUGGAUCCAGGCUGAGACACUGUAAAAUGUCUGGUUCAUAUAUGUUCUUUGUUAUCUGGGGACACUUGGACUAAACAAUUUCCCUGUGGAGAUCAAUAAAGUGAUCUUGAAUCUUGAAUUAAAGUU